CACGCCGUAAACGAUGUCAACUAGCCGUUGGAGUCCUUGAGGCUUUAGUGGCGCAGCUAACGCGAUAAGUUGACCGCCUGGGGAGUACGGCCGCAAGGUUAAAACUCAAAUGAAUUGACGGGGGCCCGCACAAGCGGUGGAGCAUGUGGUUUAAUUCGAUGCAACGCGAAGAACCUUACCAGGUCUUGACAUCCAGAGAACUUUCCAGAGAUGGAUUGGUGCCUUCGGGAGCUCUGUGACAG
rnacentral:rRNA from 1 species